AACGAACGCUGGCGGCAGGCCUAACACAUGCAAGUCGAGCGGGGACUUCGGUCCUAGCGGCGGACGGGUGAGUAACGCGUGGGAACGUGCCCUUUGCUUCGGAAUAGCCCCUGGAAACGGGGAGUAAUACCGGAUGUGCCCUUUGGGGGAAAGAUAUAUCGGCAAAGGAUCGGCCCGCGUUGGAUUAGGUAGUUGGUGGGGUAAUGGCCUACCAAGCCGACGAUCCAUAGCUGGUUUGAGAGGAUGAUCAGCCACACUGGGACUGAGACACGGCCCAGACUCCUACGGGAGGCAGCAGUGGGGAAUCUUAGACAAUGGGCGCAAGCCUGAUCUAGCCAUGCCGCGUGAGCGAUGAAGGCCUUAGGG
rnacentral:rRNA from 1 species